AUCCCUUCUUUUCUAGCACGCGUUGUGUAAAGUUCACAAAAUGGGAAGUCUGAAUAAAUUGAUUGGCUUACCGUUGGAAAUACAGGAUUUAAUCUUCCAUUAUCUUGACAAAGUGGAGGACAAGCUGAAUUUAGCAAAAGUGGACAAAGUGUUUGAGGCCGCCUUUAAGCACCACUGCCGCAAUAAAUUUGAGACUUUAGAUGUAGAAAAAGUUCGAUAUCGACUUUGGCCAGUUCUUCUAUCGCUUUGCGGGGAAACAGUUUUAAAUAUCAAUGUUGUUAGGUACGAGAAUAUCCUCCCACCGUUCGAGUACAUUGAGCGAUAUUGCCCCAACUUGCGCUUUAUCCGCUUGUAUCUGAAGUCGCGCAAUCGCGGAGUUGUGCGUAACUUCAUGAGGAACAUGCCAAGCGUUAGGCAUCUUGACAUUUGCGUCAUUAACGCAUCUUCCAAACUUCUAAGAUUUCUUCAAGACCUUCCCAAUUUGGAAAAAGUUAGGAUUCUAAAUCGAUUCGGUUCUGAAUGCGAUGUCCUUAUGACCACAUGGUUUGACGAUAUUUCUUUGGAGGAUUACCCGGCAGCCUUGCCAAAGCCAAUAAAUCUCCAUACUACCUUUGCCCCACUGAAAAAUCUUAAGUUUUUGGAGUUGCGUGGCCUAAAUUUGUGUUAUACGGAAGACAAUGAAGAGUCGAGCUUUCCGGCCUUGGCAGAACUGCGGAUUCACUAUUGUGCCAUAAUAUCCGAUUUGCCACGCUUCGCAAAGCUGACAUCCUUGUGUGUUGUGAAUCCAGCAAGGCUCGACGACCAGAACAAAUGGGUUCUGAAACACACGGUCAAUUCGGAAAAGUGGAUGUUACGCCUCGAUGACACAAUUGUUGUGGACAUAAUAAGACGUCUUCAAAAUCUUCUGCUUUGCCCCUCUUCCAAAAAUUAAAUUUUAUUCUCACAUAUAGGAUUUCAAAGAUCACAUUCCUCAUGGAAGGGAAUCAAUCUUUAAAAAUCAGUAUUUUUCGUAUAACUAUUGUUUAACAACAAGCUUACAAACUCUUGAUCCACCCCGCAUAUAUUUAGUGGAGGACUAUAAUAAUCAACUUUCAAAUAAACAAAUUUUAUUCUCACAUAAAGGAUUUCAAAGACCACAUUCGUCGUGAGGGGAAUGUAAUCCUUUUCCUCUAACGGCUUUCAAGUAUUUGUUUAUUAUAAUAAUAAUCAGUAUUAUACUAAUAUACUAUUGUUUAUUAACAAAUAGGUUGCUUGCUUUAUUCUCUUUUAUACUUUUACACAACAAUGAAUAUAGUUUUUUAAGAAAAUAACCAUUUUUAUGUCUUGAAUACCAAGGAGACUUACAAAGUCCAGAUCCACCCCGCAUACAUUUAGUGAACGACUAAAAUAAACAAGUGGCGUUUUAAAAGCUGUUUGGCAAUAUAUCUGGCCGACAGUGGUACCGCCUCUUUGAAAAAGGCAGCUUUUGCAACAUUGCAAACAAUUCACACCUCCAAUUGAUUGAGAGCGCAUAUUUUAGUCUAGAUUUUUGCAUAAAACGAAAUUGGCUUUUUCACCUUAUUGAUGUUUUUGUUGCACAAGCAAGCUGGGAAAACAAUCCCCUAAAAAUAAAUAACCUUCGACCGCUGAAUUUCAUUUAACAGCCAGAGUCGUGUGGUCCUUUUGAAAUCGUAAUUUGUUUUUUGAAUAAUUUAAGAAUUGCAUCAAAAUGAUGGCAUUGCAAAAAUGUAUUUAUUUUAAAAGUUUAAUAAUUUCAAACAAUGGUUUAACGACGUAAAGCAAAAACUAAAAAGGGAAAGAGCUUGAACAAAUAACUCAAGAACAAGCUGAAGUUUUGAUCCUGCUGUUUACCACUUUGUUCAACUUUAACUCAACCAAUCUUCUGAAAACAAUAACGUUCGACUAGUUAAGAGAGCAGGUGAUCUUUUAAUAAAGAGCAAGUUACCAAGAAGCCAUUUUAGUCUCGUAAAAACGUCAGGCGAUCCACACAAGUAAUAUAGACCACUUUAUAGACACAAAAGCUUCCAGUUCACACCAAUUUAAUUAAGAAAUUUAGCGACUUCUGAGCCCAUUCGAGAGCUGUUCGCUCUCAUAAUUUGUUUUUUUUGCCGACUAAAUCGCCUUUCAACCGCAAUCACAACAAAAGACGCCAACAGAAACACAGGAUUCGCAUUAAAACCAAAAUCAGUAUCCACGGAUCCGUGGUCGUGUAAGAAAAGCCCCGAUGGAGUGGGAUUUAAUAUGGUGCGAUUUGGCAUGAGUCAUUCGGCUGUUCAGUGUAUAUAGUAGACCCUCUAGAAGUCGAAACCAUUCCGCUGAAAAUCAUCUUGGGAGCUUUUGGGGACAGACUACAGGGCCAGGGUCGCCAUCGCAUUUGCUGUCUAACUACCUGAACGUGGCCAGCGAUCUUCGAGGGACUUGCUAAUCAUAUCGAGCCACGAAUUGUUGAUCAUUUAACUAUGUGGCGAACUGCAAGAUUUGCUGGAUGACUCACGGACUGCAGGUAGAUGGCCUUUUGGUCCAGUCUAGACCCAGUUGGAGUCGUUUUCGCAUACUCUGAAUGUCUGAAAGUCCCACAAGCCAUCAACAAAAACUUCAAGCACUAACUUAGAUAUAUAAAAUAUUUGUAAUGCUUAUUUAAUAUUUUUAAUACAUUUUAUUGGAUAACA